UCUCCCUGGGCUGUCCCCUGGCCACUGAGCCGGCUAUGCGUCUUUCCAGGCCGGGCCGGGCAGCAGUCCAGGCUGGGGCGGUGGCAGGAGAGCAUUGCUUCCUGGGCCGUCCUUGGGCAGCUGAGCUGGCCACGCAUCUCCUUGGUCCGGGCUGAGCAGCAGUCCUGGCUGGGGGGGGCGGCGGUGGGGGCAUCGCUCCCUGGACUGUCCCCAGGUCGCCAAGCCGGCCACACAUCUCCCCGUGCCGGGCUGGGGACAUUCCUUCCUGGGCCAUCCCCGGGCCACCGAGCCGACCACGUGUCUGCCCGGGCCAGGUGGCAGUCCUAGCUGGGGCGGCGGCAGGGGCAUUGCUUUCUGGGCCAUCCCCGGGCUGCUGAGUCGGUACGCGUCUCCCUAGGCCGGGCUGGGUGGCAGGGGGACAUUGCUUCCUGUGCCGUCCCUGGGUCACUCACCCGGCCAUAUGUCUCCCUGGGCUGGGCAGGCUGCAGCAGGGGGGCAUCACUUCCUGGGCCAUCCCCAGGCCGUUCCCUAGGCAGCCUAGCUCACCAUGCAUCUCCCCGGGCUGGUCCGUGGGGUCCUAGACACCUUUCAGCGACUUUUGCCGCCUCCUGCCUCCCUCCCCUCCCUGCCCCUUUAGCGCCGUCUGCCUUUCUUUCUCUCUCUCUCUCUCCUCAUCUGGAGAGAGGGGGGGCAGAGGAAAGAGAGAGAAAGAGAGAGGGUGACUUGUUCGGGCAAAGAACCAGUGGGGGACAAGGCGAGCUAAGUCAAAAGACAUGGAACUUCCGUGCUAGCUUCUCCCGAAUCCUUGUUAUCCCUGCCACAAACUCAGCUCAUCCGCCCUCACUCUCUCCUCUUCUCUCUCUGCGGACGAGGCUGCUUGCUUCAAAUGGUUUGCUACCGAAGUCCGGGAGCCAGGCAGGCGGAAACAAUAGGACAGAUGGCAGGGCAGCUGCUUUUGCAAGGAGGAACUGCUUGUAAUCUGAUCCUGUAAACAGAGACACUACAAACCCCAGCCUUUCGGAGAACAUGGGACCAUCUUUCUGCUUCUUCAAUAAACUGUAACCUUCCCAAAGCAGUUACCAUGUUGCUGAUUUAUUCCCGGCUUGGAUGAACCAGAAUGAAGACUUAUUUCUGACAGCUCCUUCACAUAUAAUUUUGUACUUACCACUCUAGUCUUCUUCCAAGACAUGACUGGAAAAUACAAGCCACCCUAUUAACCUAUCAAGAAGCUUUCAUAGAAAAGGCAAAAUGUAAUAUAAGAAAUAAAAGUCUCUCUCUCUCUC